CGAAGUCCUGUUCAACACUCAGUUUGAGAAAGCAUCUUCAGCAACUUCCACAACCCCACCUCUUCCUGCGGUGCGACGUGCUCCUCUGCAUGGCCUCCCUCAGCUGCCUGCUGACAGUACCACGUCGACUUCACCUUCUACCUGCCCUGCACUCCCAUGCAGUGCAAGGCGCCCCUCUGGAUGGACUAGCUCUGCACCCGCUGCGUGGAGACACCUUUCUUUGGAGGCAUGGCCCACGUCUGCUAAAGAUAUGCCAAAUCAUUGGGGAAACGCAGUGUUCUCUAAGGAAGCAUUCCGGAGCCAGGAGUACAUCAGGGAAUGCAAUCAACGAUUAGAUCUAGGGAUACGUGAGUCCUGGCUCAUUUGCUUGAUGUUUCAGUGUGUGAGGCUAUUUCCUGCACUUGGCUUUAGAGAAUAUGAAUAAAUUCUAAGUAGCUUCUCUUUUACA
rnacentral:lncRNA from 1 species